rnacentral:lncRNA from 1 species
AUUUAAGAUCGGAGUUAUUGAUCUUUAUCUAUGUAGUGAAUAGAAUUUUCUAUCAAAAAUUUAAUCUAUUCUGAUUCUUUUACACCGUUAAACUAGCAAAUAUUUCAUACCGGCCGUUAAAAUUGUCAAUUUGUGACCUUUUGAUCGUAAGGUAAAUGAUGUCGAAAAAUUAUAAAAUUUGAUUUCUAGAAGUUUUAAAUACUCUAGAUAACGUUUAACGGUGUGGAUCAUCGAUUCGGAAGCUCUAUCAUUGAAAACAACUUAUGAGUACGAGAGCGAUCGUACUCAUAAGAGUAUAGUAGCCGGACUCUCUCUCUCUNUAUAUAUAUAUAUAUAUAUAUAUAUAUAUAUAUAUAGUUCUGUUGGGAUACUAUCAAUAGCGGUGCUAUCAAACUUUCUGCCGUUGGAUUUAUCUCUUUUGUUAUUUUCAUCCGUUUGAUUAUACUAUUCAACCAACCACCCACUGAACACUAGGGAGCCCACAUUAUUCUAACCGCAUAUCUUUUAAUCUAAGAAUAAAAAACUUAGUAGCAAUAAGUCAUUGGUGCUAUUAAUAAUAUUUCAGCCAAGUUCUAUAUCUAUAUAUAUAUAUAUAGAGAGAGAGAGAGAGAGAGAGAGAGAACUAGACUGGAAUUUCUCUAGACUGGAAUACUAUUAAUAGCAUCAAAGCUAUUGGUGCUAUAAAGUUUUCGGCCUUGGAUGAGCAAAUGUGCGGUUAGAAUGAUGUGGGCCCCUUAAGUUGAGUGAGUUAUUGGUUGAAUGGUAUAAUCUAAUCGGUAAAAAUAGAUAAAUGGUUAAAUCUAACGGCAGAAAAUUCGGUAGCACCAAACGCUUGGUGCUAUCGUUAAUAAUUCCAACCGAACUAUAUAUAUAUAUAUAUAUAUAUAUAUACACACACACGCGUGCGCGUUAGUUUUUUGAGCCUAAAUCGAGCGUGCCCAGUAAUACUCAACCUCAGUUAAAAUUUUUUUUUUUUAAUUCAAAUUCGACUCAUUUAAUUUCGA